AAGAUCAUACUUCAUAGGAUCAUUUCUAUAGUAUGAUUAGAGGUUCACUCACCGAACCUCGCAGAAAACCCAACCACGAUGAUGUGAGAUGGGAUUUCUUCCUGAGCGUGAAAGUGGCCUCGUGGUUUCCUUCGGGCUGCCGCAAUGCCGUUGAUGAUCGCACUCUAUGACUCUUGCAGUCGGGAGAUGGAAGAAAUUCGAUCUGAGUGGU